AAAAAUUUUGAUUUCCCUCAUUGUUUUCCAGUUUUCCCCCAAAAUAUGAUAUCCACCGCUAGGUCUUGUUACCCAAAAAUUCUCCUUCUUGUUUUCCCCCAAAAUCUGAUAUCCAACCGCUAGGUCUUAUUACCCAAAAAUUCUCUACACAAGCACACAACUAGGGUCGCACAACUUUUCAUCCCAAAGAAAACGAAGAAGAAUUAAGUUCAGUGUAUUCGUUCCGUGCUCAUCUUGACGAAACAUUCUGUACUUUGGCGGGUUCUCCAAUCCUCACCUCAAAAUCGAAUCAUCAUUUAUCAGGCUUUGGGGGAGAUCUAAUCGAUAAAGGGGCCUUGGAUUCAUAUUACAUGGUCAAAUGAAAUUAUGCAGGACAAUUGAUCGACCGAACAAAUUUUGGCAAGGCUGGAGAUGUUGUUUGAACAUUGCAAUACAGCUUGGGGGAAAUGAUUCAAAUUACACGGGAUAUUCACGCUGACCCAAAGAAGCCACUUGACUUUUGCAACAAUAAGGCUGGUGAACAAAUGGCUUUUUAAAUCUUUUCUUUGCAAGGUUAGUUUAAUUAUUCGCAAAGGUGAAGACACUAUUAAAAAACUCCAGACACAAUUUUGAGCACACAUUCAGGUAGUUUUUGAGAUGACUAGCCUAACAUACAAACUAUGCCAAGUACAAAUGAAAAUGACAAUGAAAUUAGUAUAUUUUUUUCAUCAAAUGCAGGCUUGGUAAAGUCAUGUUAUGUAUUUUGAUGUUUACACAUAGUGUAGUUGAAUCACAUUCUUUGUCUUUUACUAUGAAUUCCAACUAAUGUUUCAGAUCUUCAGUUCUUGUAAAUGGCUAUCUUUUGGUGCUUUCUGAAGUAGUCUAUCUUCGAUUCUAUUUGAAACAUAAUGUUUCUCUAUAGUUAACUCUCUUACAACUGAACAACUAGAUUACAAAGCAUCAACCCGGGUCUCCUUUAUAAAUAUGGGUUAAACAGGUCGUUUUGGGUUGACCCGAGUUUAUUGUGUAUCCGGGCUAGGGUUGAAAUCUUUGAUAUGAAUAUAGAUAUGGGCCGUGUUUGGGUUUCAUUUGCUAACCUGCUAACGCGACACUAUUAACAGCCAUAUGCAAAAGGAGAUGUGGAUUUUUUUAUGGUGCCCAGUUUUUUUUUAAUCAGUUGAUUUAAAAGUGCAAAUUUCACACUGGGUCAGCGUGGUUUGCUUGGUGUAGAAAAGGUAUCACACAUUAAUCCUUGGUUUUGAUGGAAGUUAAUGGUUGGUUUAAUAGACAACUUUAAAUAAGGGGUAAGUGUUAUUAAAAGUUAAAUUAGUUCAUUACACUAAGGCUAGACGAUCCUGACAAGCUUCACAUGUCCGGCUCGAGCUCGGGCUCGAUAAAUAAACGAGCUUUAUUCUAGGCUCAAGCUUGGCUUAGCCUUGACUCGUUUCGAGAUUUUUUUUUAGCCAAUCUCGAGCAGCUCUCAAGUUGCUCAGCUUGUUUGCAUCCCUAAAAAGGUAUCAUGCAUUGGUAAUAGAUUAUUUUCACACAAGUUUCUAAUGUUUGGAUUUGUUAGUUGUUGAUCUUGUGUGCACCUUUAAGUCUGGUGUAUGUGGGUGUGUACAUAUACAUCGUGUCCUUUUCUCGACAUCUCAAUCAUGGUGGAUUGCACUCAUGAAAUCAUAUGGGCUGAACUCUUCUCUUAAUUAAAUUUCUAUUUCUGAAGCAUACUAUUUCUAUACUAGCAUACUAUUUCUAUACUAGCUGUCAAGCAUCAUGUUUUAGUUAACUUUUUUUUAUUAUCAGCUCCUAAGCUAAAAGAGGCUCCUAAGCUAAAAGAGCUGAUGCAGUGUUGUGUUGACCACGAAGAUGAAAUUACUAAUUUCGACUUUGGCACCACAACCUGGAAUUGCAUUCGGAGUUUUGCAUAUACAGUUUCACACUCUCGAGGGUCUUUGUUAUUAUUCAACUAUUCCAGACGUCAUGUAUUUAUAGGGUGCUUUCACAUCAUACAUGAUCCUGGAGGGGGCUUAUGGAAUCAUUCAAAUCAAAUGUUGAAGGUGAGAAAACCCGUUGUUGGAAAUGCGCAAAGAUAUUAAAGAGGGUCAUCAAAGAUAAAAAGCGGAGCUCGAAUCCAUGCGAAAGAUAUUGACUGUCAGUGACAAUGAAAGUUAUAAUACGAAAGGUUAUGAGACAACUUCUAGUUAGAGAUCGUGACGAGUAGAGUAUUUUCUUUUUUCUAAAUUAUUGUAAUUGACACUUCUUGCUACUAUAUUGUAAUUUGAGUUUGGACAAACAUGUUAAAGUAGAUCAUUUGACUAUCAAUGAUACUUUUGUUAUUAUU